CUGUAAGCCAGCUCCAUCUUUGCUGGAGUUCGAAUCGCACAGAGAUUUAGCUUGAGAAUGACUUCGCUCGGCGUUGUUCGCGCGUGUUAUCAGCACGCCUUUGGUGCGAGUGUGUGGCUAUUUUAUGGCCCCGCAAUAGAUCCCAAAAGGUGAGUCAUAAUGAGAGGUAAUAGGAUACAGUGAAUGGAUCACUCACCCUUAUUGUACCAGAACUCAUAUCACUAUAAUAUGCAAUGUUAUUAUUUGUUAUUCAGAUAUGGAAUGGUAUGAAAAGCAGGGUGAGAAUCUACGCCACAUCGACUGCGGCAGAGGACCUACCAACCUUCCUAAAGGACACCAACUCUAGCACUAACGAGCUGAUGAGCGUUGGAGCAGAGCCGGGUAGAAUUCUUAUGCAUUGAGAAGCUGCGAGCAUGCGAAGCAUUCUUGCAGCAAGUGAAUGCUGGCAGGGUGCAGGCUGAGGCAGCUAUUAUUUCUGUCAAAACAGAUGAUCUGCAUGCCCAAUCCGUAGCUGCUAUUUGCAAAGCAAUUACCGAGUUGGUGCCUGCAGUUAACCUUUUUGAUAGAAUAUUUAACAAGAAUGACAGACUUCUUUGAAGAAUCAAAAGCAAGCUCGCUCUGGAAAUGAAGGAUCAUUUGGGGUAG